UAAAGCUACAAAGAGCUAAUGGGGAAUGCCUUGGUACUGACAGCCGAUGAAGGACGUGUAAAGCUGCGAUAAGCUGCGGGGAACUGCUAAAAGGUCUUGAUCCGCAGAAAUCCGAAUGGGGAAACCCUAUCAAGUUAAAACUUGAUAACUCACAAGUGAAUACAUAGCUUGUGUAGAGGAAAGCCUGUGAACUGAAACAUCUUAGUAACAGGACGAAGAGAAAAUAACCCAAUGAUUCCGAGAGUAGCGGCGAGCGAAAUUGGAAGAGCCUAAAUUGUGUGUACGUGAUAGCCUGCAAGCGUUGUGCACAUGAGGUUGUGGGACUUGCAUCAUAUUUUGCAGAAUAUGGAUUGAGUUAGAAAAUUAUUUAUUAGUUAAAGUCAACUGGGAAGUUGCGCCAUAGAGAGUGAUAGCCUCGUAAACGACAAUAAAUAAUCUCAAGUAAGUAUCCCGAGUAAGGCGGGGCACGUGAAACCCUGUCUGAAUCCACCGGGACCAUCCGGUAAGGCUAAAUACUAGUCAGUGACCGAUAGUGAACGAGUACAGUGAUGGAAAGGCGAAAAGAACAGUGAGAAGCUGAGUGAAAUAGACCCUGAAACCGUUAGCUUACAACCAGUCAGAGCACAAUUAAUUGUGUGAUGGCGUGCCUGUUGAAGAAUGAGCCGGCGAGUUAUUUUUUGUUGCGAGGUUAAGGAGAUUAUAUCCGGAGCCACAGGGAAACCGAGUCUGAAUAGGGCGUUAAGUAACAGGAAAUAGACCCGAACCUUGGUGAUCUAACCUUGACCAGGAUGAAGCGUGGGUAACACUACGUGGAGGUCCGAACCAACCGAUGUUGAAAAAUCGGUGGAUGAGUUGAGGUUAGGGGUGAAAUGCCAAUCGAACCAAGAGCUAGCUGGUUCUCCCCGAAAUGCGUUUAGGCACAGCGUUGGAUUUAUCUUGCAGGAGGUAGAGCACUGGUUUUGUGCGGGCGUCGAAAUGAUGUACCAAACAAUGUCAAACUCCGAAUACCUGUAAUGUCAUUAUCCAGCAGUGAGGCUAUGAGUGAUAAGAUCCAUGGCCAAGAGGGAAACAGCCCAGAACGCCAGUUAAGGUCCCUAAUAUAUGCUAAGUGGUUAAGGAGGUAGAGUUACUGAGACAACCAGGAGGUUGGCUUAGAAGCAGCCAUCCCUUGAAAGAGUGCGUAAUAGCUCACUGGUCAAGUGACUCCGCGCCGAAAAUACACCGGGACUAAAGCAUAUAACCGAAGCUGCGUCAUAUAGUUUACUAUAUGGGUAGGGGAGCGUACUGUAGUAAGACGAAGCUAGAGUGAAAACACUAGUGGAUGAGGCAGUAGUGAGAAUGUCGGCAUAAGUAGCGAAAACAUUGGUGAGAAUCCAAUGCACCGAAAACCUAAGGUUUCCCACGGCAGGCUCGUCCGCGUGGGGUUAGUCGGAUCCUAAGCUCAGGCCAAACGGCGUAGGCGAUGGACAAUAGGUUGAUAUUCCUAUACUAUCUGAUAAUCGUUAUCAGAAGCGGAGGGACGCAAGAGGAUAAGCACGCAGUCGACUGGAAGAGACUGUAUAAGCGUGUAGCUAGGUUUGACAGGAAAAUCCGUCAAAUCGUUAAUGUGAGGCGUGAUGUGGAGAGUCUACGGACUCGAAGGUGUUGACUCCAAAUUGCCAAGAAAAUCUUCGCUCUCGAGAUUAUUGGGUAUCCGUACCGUAAACCGCCACAGGUAGGUUGGUAGAAAAUACUAAGGUGCGCGAGACAACUCUCGCUAAGGAACUCGGCAAAAUCACCUCGUAACUUCGGGAGAAGAGGUACCCUGGUAGCGUGAAGCGAUUUACUCGUGAAGCGUGAUAGGGUCGCAGUGAAUAGGCCCAAGCGACUGUUUACCAAAAACACAGGUCUCUGCUAAGUCGAUCAAGACGAUGUAUAGGGGCUGACGCCUGCCCGGUGUCGGAAGGUUACGCGGAAAUGUUAGAAGCAAUUCAAAGCAUCGAAGCUAAGCCCCGAUGAACGGCGGCCGUAACUAUAACGGUCCUAAGGUAGCGAAAUUCCUUGUCAGGUAAGUUCUGACCCGCACGAAUGGCGUAACGAUUUGGGCGCUGUCUCGGCGAGAGGCUCGGCGAAAUUGGAUUAUCCGUGAAGAUACGGAUUACGUGUACCAGGACAGAAAGACCCUAUUGAGCUUUACUGUAGCUUGAAAUUGAAUUCGGGU
rnacentral:rRNA from 1 species